rnacentral:lncRNA from 1 species
AUUCUGCUUUGUCCUCAAAAAUGAAUGGAGACGUUUCUCACAAUUUAAUUUGCAUUUGGGAUAACAUCCAAUGCUUUUGUGAAAAAAGUGGCCUGAUGACAAUUUUACUGGUUUGGUUUUACUUUUGAAAGAGAAAAAUAGCAAGUUUCCAUCUCUCUUUAAUUUUUCUUUUUACGGGUGAGAAUGCUAAAUGACAGCACUGUGGACCAAGUUCAGCUUUUCACAUUGAGAAAACUGACUAAUGGACCAUCUGAUAAAAGUACUGCUACCAUUUGAGCAUUGCAAUACCUUCUGUCUUCCAAAAGACAUCGAAACGACUAUGAAACUUGGAAACCGGGAACUAAAGGAACAUUUGUCAUUUUGUUCAACAGCACAUCUUAAUUCAGAAUAGCCAUACUUCAGGUGCUCAAUAACCACUUGUGACUAGUGGCUACUCUACUGGACCAUGCAGACCUAGGUGCUUUUUAUCAAGGAAAAAGGGAAGAGGGCAGAACUCUAAAAAACUGAAGAUUUGCCCUGAAAGAGCUUCUUUUAAACUGUUAGGAAAUUGUUUAUACUGGCAGAAACUGAGAUAGAGUUAACUAAAGAGGGUAUCCAUCAGGGUUCUGACGUUCAAGUGAUAGAACCACCCUGGUUAAUUUAACCAGAAAAUCAGAUUUAUGAAGGCUAUUAGAUGGUUAAGAAUCUCUGUGACUGCUGGAAAACUAGACUUGGAGGCUGCAUCUUCAGAGACAAAGUGCAAAUCAUUCUGCAGAACUGGUACAUCAAGACAGCACUGCUGAGAAUGAGUAUCUUCACUGGAACUGCUUCCAUGAUCAAUGCUGACAACAGAGAUAAUGCUGGAACCCUUUCCACUGGUGCUGCCUUUGGGAAAUGGACGCAACUGCUGCCUUCACUGCCAAAAUUGACAGGAUGGAUUCUACACACUCCCUGCUUCUUUGCAUCCCAGCUUCUAAGCCAAGGUCUAGUGUGUGUGUAUCUUUUUGGGCAGAACCUAGGUCAUGUGACCUAGCUUCAAGGAAAGCUGGGAGAAAAGGUUCAGUCCCUAGAGUGAGCAGUGGUCCCUGCGUCUCAUCAAGGUUCAUUCAGGGAUCUCUCCACAUGUAGAGAGGGAUGGGGAGGGAGGAUUAUAAUAGUCUAAAGAAAGACGAUGUCCACCUAACAAGCUUGGGUUUUCCAGCUAUCCAGUGGGACAGGAUGGGGGCUCCUGAAGAAGAUUUAAAAUUUUUAAAAAUUGCUGUAAAAAUAUUAAGUAUAUAUAAAAUCUUUUCUUCCUAAUAUGAAUGU